rnacentral:rRNA from 1 species
CAAAGAUUAAGCCAUGCAUGUAUGAGUGUGCCUAUUUGAUUAUAAGAGAAACCGCGAAUGGCUCAUUAAAUCAGUUAUAAUCUACUUGGUUGUUCAACAGUAGAGGGAUAACUGCGGUAACACUGCAGCUAAUACUUGCUAAUUGCCCUUAGCCGACUUUGUCCGCUUCGGGAACUUUUAUUAGAGGAACUUCAUGUAUAUUAACUACGGUAUCUGCGUGGCGAGCUCUGAAUAACUGAAGCAGGCACCGUAUCCGGCAUGUACCGGGGCGCCGAAUCCAUAUGAGUUUCUGACCUAUCAACUUCUGACGGUAGUGUAACGGACUACCGUGGUUGUAACGGGUAACGGGGAAUCAGGGUUCGAUUCCGGAGAGGGAGCCUGAGAAACGGCUACCACAUCUAAGGAAGGCAGCAGGCGCGAAAAUUACCCAAUCUCGGAAUGAGGAGGUAGUGACGAAAAAUAACAAUAUGAAACCUUACGGUUUUGUGAUUGGAAUGAGAGAAAUUUAACAUCUUUCAUGAGGAUCUAGUGGAGGGCAAGUCUGGUGCCAGCAGCCGCGGUAAUACCAGCUCCACAAGCGUAUGCAAAAGUUGCUGCGUUUAAAAAGCUCGUAGUUGGAUCUGUUGGGGGUGCAGGGCACAUACGCAUGGCUUUAACUAGCCAUGGCUGCAUCCACUUCUUCCCGUCAAGGGUGUUUGCACUUAACUGUGUCGAAUACUCAAGACGGAAAAUAAUUUGAAUAAAUUAGAGUGUYCAAAGCGACCUUUGGGAAAGCAUAAUAAAGCAUGUGAUAGAGGAGGAAGACCCACCUUCGUUCGCGGGGUUUGCGAGGGAUGGUAAUGAUUGAAAGGAACAGGCGGGGGCAUUUGUAUUGCUACGUUAGAGGUGAAAUUCUUGGAUCGUGGCAAGACAAACUAAAGCGAAAGCAUCUGCCAAGCAUGUUUUCCAUUAAUCAAGAACGAAAGUUAGAGUAUUGAAGAGGAUUAGAUACCCUCGUAAUUCUAACCAUAAACGAUACCUACUUACGAUUUGUCAAAGUCCUGUUCGACCUGACAAGGAGUUAUCCGGGAAACCAAAGUUCAUUGGCUCCGGGGGAAGUAUGGUUGCAAAAUCGAAACUUAAAGGAAUUGACGGAAGGGCACCACCAGGAGUGGAGCCUGCGGCUUAAUUUGACUCAACACGGGGAAACUCACCAGGUCCAGACAUUGUAAGGAUUGACAGAUUGAAUAUCUUUCAUGAUUCCAUGGGUGGUGGUGCAUGGCCGUUCUUAGUUAGUGGAGUGAUCUGUCUGGUUAAUUCCGAUAACGAACGAGAUCCUGGCCAUUUAAAUAGAAGAGAUGACUUUAAGUCGUCUACAAAACUUCUUAGAGGAACAAUGUGGAAUAUACUACCACAGGGAAGUGGGGCUAUAACAGGUCUGUGAUGCCCUUAGAUGUCCUGGGCUGCACGCGCGCUACACUGGAUGCUACGGAUUGAUUGACAACCUUGUCCGAAAUGGUCCGGGUAAUCACCUAAAAGCAUACCAUAAUUGGGAUGGAUUAUUGUAACUAGUAGUCCUGAACGAGGAAUUCCUAGUAAGUCCCAGUCAACAGCUGGUACUGAUUACGUCCCUGCCCUUUGUACACACCGCCCGUCGCUACUACUGAUUGGAUGUUUAAGCAAGAUUUUUGGACACUUACAGUCGUUGCUUCGGUCAAUGUACCGUGGGGNAAGAGGAUCGAGCUUAUUUGUCUAGAGGAAGUAAAAGUCGUAACAAGG